rnacentral:rRNA from 1 species
AUGGACGCGGUGGAGUCCACGUCGCCGCCGUCGCUGCGCCACAAGCUGCGGACCACCGUGUGCGGCUGCUUCGGCUCGCCGGGCAGCGGCGACGAAAGGCCGCAAAGCGGCGGCAGGACCAGGUGGAGGCGGCGGGUGGCGGCCGCGGGGGAGUUCAGGUACGACCCGCUCAGCUACGCGCUCAACUUCGACGACGGCGGCAGCGGCAGCGACGACGGGGCGGAAGCAGAGAACGCGGCCUUAAGGUACCCGAACUUCAGCUCGCGCCUGCCUCUCUCGCCGGCGCCGGCGUCCCGAGCCGUCGCCAUCGCCUGA